rnacentral:rRNA from 3 species
CCUACGGGAGGCAGCAGUGGGGAAUAUUGGACAAUGGGGGCAACCCUGAUCCAGCCAUGCCGCGUGUGUGAAGAAGGCCUUUUGGUUGUAAAGCACUUUAAGCAGUGAAGAAGACUCCAUGGUUAAUACCCAUGGACGAUGACAUUAGCUGCAGAAUAAGCACCGGCUAACUCUGUGCCAGCAGCCGCGGUAAU